GAUGAAGAACGUAGCGAAAUGCGAUAAGUAAUGUGAAUUGCAGAAUUCAGUGAAUCAUCGAAUCUUUGAACGCACAUUGCGCCCGCCAGUAUUCUGGCGGGCAUGCCUGUUCGAGCGUCAUUUCAACCCUCAAGACCCCUUCGGGGGACUUGGUGUUGGGGACCGGCACAGGGGCCUGCCUGCUUGUCUUGCAGCGCCCUCGCCGCCCCCGAAAUGAAUUGGCGGCCUCGUCGCGGCCUCCCCUGCGUAGUAGCACAAACCUCGCAACGGGAACGUGACGGCGGCCACUGCCGUAAAACAACCCAAUUUUAUUAGAGUUGACCUCGAAUCAGGUAGGAAUACCCGCUGAACUUAAGCACAUCAAUAAGCGGAGGA
rnacentral:misc_RNA from 1 species